UACGGGGGGGGGUAAGCGUUGUUCGGAAUUACUGGGCGUAAAGGGCUCGUAGGCGGCCAACUAAGUCAGACGUGAAAUCCCUCGGCUUAACCGGGGAACUGCAUCUGAUACUGGAUGGCUUGAGUUCGGGAGAGGGAUGCGGAAUUCCAGGUGUAGCGGUAGAAAUGCGUAGAUAUCUGGAGGAACACCGGGUGGCGAAGGCGGCCAUCUGGGACAACACUGACGCUGAGGCACGAAAGCGUGGGGAGCAAACAGG
rnacentral:rRNA from 1 species